ensembl:ncRNA
UUAAGUAGUGGAUACAAAGGGCGA